GACGAACGCUGGCGGCGUGCUUAACACAUGCAAGUGGGGCGACGAACCAGGCUUCGGCCUGGGGCAAAGCCGCGAACGGGUGAGUAACACGUGGGUAACCUGCCCCGAAGACUGGGACAACCCGGGGAAACCCGGGCUAAUACCGGAUGUGGUCAUCGUUCACAAGGACGAUGAGCAAAGGAAGCCUCGGCCUCCGCUUCGGGAUGGGCCCGCGGCCCAUUAGCUUGUUGGUGAGGUAACGGCUCACCAAGGCUUCGAUGGGUAGCUGGUCUGAGAGGACGAUCAGCCACACUGGGGCUGAGACACGGCCCAGACUCCUACGGGAGGCAGCAGUGGGGAAUCUUGCGCAAUGCGCGAAAGCGUGACGCAGCAACGCCGCGUGGGGAAGACGGCCUGG
rnacentral:rRNA from 1 species